GAUCUUGGUCAGGACGAACGCUGGCGGCGUGCCUAACACAUGCAAGUCGAGCGAGGAGAUUCCUUCGGGAUGAUCCUAGCGGCGGACGGGUGAGUAACACGUGGGCAACCUGCCUCAUAGAGAGGAAUAGCCUUCCGAAAGGGAGAUUAAUACCUCAUAACAUUGCAGUUUCGCAUGGAACAGCAAUUAAAGGAGUAAUCCGCUAUGAGAUGGGCCCGCGGCGCAUUAGCUAGUUGGUGAGGUAACGGCUCACCAAGGCGACGAUGCGUAGCCGACCUGAGAGGGUGAUCGGCCACAUUGGGACUGAGACACGGCCCAGACUCCUACGGGAGGCAGCAGUGGGGAAUAUUGCACAAUGGGGGAAACCCUGAUGCCAGCAACGCCGCGUGAGUGAUGACGGCCUUCGGGUUGUAAAGCUCUGUCUUCAGGGACGAUAAUGACGGUACCUGAGGAGGAAGCCACGGCUAACUACGUGCCAGCCGCCGC
rnacentral:rRNA from 1 species